rnacentral:rRNA from 1 species
CCUACCUUACAUUGGGGGAUAGCCUUUCGAAAGGGAGAUUAAUACCGCAUAAGACAGUAGCUGGGCAUCCAGCAGCUGUUAAAGAUUUAUCGAUGUAAGCUGGGCAUGCGUCCAAUUAGCUAGUUGGUGAGGUAACGGCUCACCAAGGCUAUGAUUGGUAGGGGAACUGAGAGGUCAAUCCCCCACACUGGCACUGAGAUACGGGCCAGACUCCUACGGGAGGCAGCAGUAGGGAAUAUUGGGCAAUGGACGCAAGUCUGACCCAGCCAUGCCGCGUGCAGGAUGAAGGCGUUAUGCGUUGUAAACUGCUUUUAUACAGGAAGAAACGACUCUUGCGAGAGGCAUUGACGGUACUGUAUGAAUAAGCACCGGCUAACUCCGUGCCAGCAGCCGCGGUAAUACGGAGGGUGCAAGCGUUGUCCGGAUUUAUUGGGUUUAAAGGGUGCGCAGGUGGUUUAUUAAGUCAGUGGUGAAAGACGGUCGCUCAACGAUUGCAGUGCCAUUGAAACUGGUAGACUUGAGUAAAGUAGAGGUGGGCGGAAUUGAUAGUGUAGCGGUGAAAUGCAUAGAUAUUAUCAAGAACUCCAAUUGCGUAGGCAGCUCACUUGGCUUUUACUGACACUCAUGCACGAAAGUGUGGG